AGCCCACGUGAUCGCAGGGCGCUGCUUUACGGCCGCGGCCCCGCCCCUGUCGUACUGCAGCGUCCGCGGCGCGGUCUGCCCCCGUCGCGCCUGGAACCUGGAGUCCGGCUUCUGGAGGAGGAGCGGUGUGGCCAUGUGAUCUUCAGUUGAGAGUUCGAUCCCUGAGGUCGGACUUUUAACCUACGUCCUCUUGCGCCCCCACUAAAUACGCUGUCGUUAGGGAGUUUUUGGAGGGAGUCUUCUCUGAGCUCAACCUGGAGCCUGGAAUAAAAUAACGCUCUUCUAAAUGAUUAGCUUUGAGCUUAUGGUAAGAUAAGAAAAUAAAACUGAAUAUGUGCAAAUAGAUUAGGGUCCGGCUAUGAAAUGCCUGGCUAAUACCAGCCUGUGAGUAAGAUUCAAACGAAGCGUCCUCUUCCGUAUGCAUUUCUAUGGCUUUGACUGAGACACGGGGAUACUGGCUUCCCUUACUGUUAACAAUGAUAGGAGCAUGCCGAGGCUUGCCAAGAUCUCUCGUAUACAUUCAUUUAUAUGAGAAGACAAGGAUUGAGAUUGGGAACAGCCUUCUCCCACUGACUCAGGGCUAUCUGGUAACACUUCUGUGGUGUCAUGAGAGGUGCCUCAAGUCUAAUA